rnacentral:lncRNA from 1 species
AGAGUGCUGAGUGGGAAAAGGAAAGGCUGAUGUUCCUUGCUCCCUAUUACUAUCUAGAGUUUGAGCCUGGAGAAUUCCUUCUGUGGGAUCUUCAUUCUGGCAGCAAACAUUUAUUAAGUACUUACUUUAUGUCAGGACUAAGGUCUGGGAAUACAAAUUUAAGUAGAAAGGAAAUUCCUGUCCUCAAAGAGCUUAUAUUUUAAUUAUUCCAAUGGAUGAAAAAAAGCCUCAAAGGAAAGUAAAUUGAAGUUAGGGUCUGGGAACCUGGUAUCUAAUGCAGAGGUGUAUGAUCAAGAAAAAUUACCUGGCCUGAGUGCUCUUUUUAAAAGGAGAUUCUGGGAGGAGCCAUCUAAUCAGAGGGAGAGACCUCAGAGGGAGAUGGCACUCAUAUUGAGUGAAUUCCAGGGUUGAGGGGAGCUACUUUUGUUAAAAAGGAAGAAUACUGCCAAGGAACCAUCUUCUUCUGAAUAUGGAUGGUGUUCUUUCUUAUAAGUCCUUCAGAAUUGUCCUGGGCCAUUGCAUUGCUUCUAGUAGAGAAAAGCCUGCAUAUUAUGAGGAUCCUGGUUCAGGCUUCUGCUCUAGCAAAAGCUGAACAUCCAGGUGCUUACAUGGAUGUCAAACAGCCCAGUCAAGCUAUCCAGUUCAAUCCUUCCCUGAGAGACCAAGAAAAGACCAUUGCCUCCUGCUUGUCAUCUUGUUUCAUCUACAGUGUACCCUCCUGUGGCUUUGGAGUCCAAAGGCUGAGGCGCAGAAUUUGUGGCACAUGGGGCAUGGAAUGCCAGUUGUUAUGGGAGGUGCGGUUGUGGCCUGGUGUCAGCAUUCACCCGCAGCGGCGAAAUUGA